rnacentral:lncRNA from 1 species
UGACAAGUACCUGCCAAACACUGUUGUGAAAACCUCUCUCCUGGGAAAACAAAAGUCAUGACAUUUUGAGCACAAUUGUGUGUGGGAUGCAUUCAUCAAUAGAGCUGGAAGCACCAACCACCAUAGGAGAGGAAACUUUUAGUUACAAGCACAUGAAUAAAUAAAAUCAAACUCAACUGGAAUGACGUUCCUGAGGAUGGAGAUACAUUUUUUUGUUGACCCAUCUAAACUUGAACAGCAAGUGAUAAUCAGUCUCCAAUCAGAAAGUCCCAGGAGCUACCAAGCAACUCGUGCAGUUGAAUGCCCCAGAACCAUUCUUCACAGGGUAUCCGUGGAAAUCAUCACCCUUUCACCUUCAGAUUCUGGCUCAAAGAAAUUGUGGGCGAUGAGUCACCUAACUCUGUGACUCAUAUCUGGUCUCAAUAAAGGUGUUUUAUGAGUUGAAAAAAAGAGGCAUCCAUAUAGAUAAGACAAGAAGGCAAACUAAUUAAUGAAAAUAAUCCUGCAAAGGUGGUGAGAUUAGAGAUCUCUGUGUUUGGUUUGAAAUUUUAUUUAAUGCAUAAAUGACUAUAGAAUAAAAAAUGGAUAAAUUCC